AUUUUAGGCAUUUCUUACAUCUCUCGAACAUGGAGAAACCACGCCGUAUUGCAUAUCGAUGUAAAUAUCCAAACUGCGGAAAUGUGUUCUACAAGGGUGGUGGUAAUGACCUUAGAUUUUACCAUUUUCCAAGAAAUGUGGAAAUGGAGGAACUUUGGAGACAAAUUUGUAAAAUUGAUGCAAGUAAACCGUGUAAGUCCUUAUACUUGUGUAAAAAUCAUUUUCACUCGACAGAUUUUCAUGAUCCAUUACAUCGAAACAGACUGUUGCCUAAUGUGGUCCCAAAGGAAUAUGUCUCCAAAGAGUCCAUGAGCAGUCAAGUGGUUGCAGCGGAAAUUUACACUCAGUUGCUGUGGAAUCCGUAGCUAGUUGCUCAUUUUCUGCUGAAACAGACUUUUCUACCAUAGAAGAAAGUAACGUUUGCUGAGAGGAAAUUGCUUCAGAGUUGUAGUUCGCCUCCUCGUGGUGCACCUUGAGUAACGCUAAAUGAAUUGGCACAUAUCGAUAUUGACAGAAAUAUCUCGUCAAGUACGCAGUUGUUCAUUUUCCUUACAACACAAUCUGACAGGAGGGAUGAUAACCCUAGAAGCUUCACAUUGUGAGUUACAUAUCUUUCUCUUAUUAUUAUUGUAUCUAAUAUUUGUAUUUCUUGAUUUGUUUAUUUGAUAUGUAUUUAGAUGUAUGAUAAUAAAUAGGUUACAUUACA